UCUACACUUAGAAUAGUUACUGUGGUUGAAUACAAGAUUUAGCUCUGUGUUUCCCAGCAGGCAAGAAGGUAGCAUAGCUGCACACACUGGAAUGUGGGGACGGAGGGCCAUACCAGGAGAGCUCUUGCUCACCCACCCUCUCUCUCUUGAUUUGUUUGCUGUGCUUAUGGCUCCCUUGUGUGUUUGGCUGAUCACUGUUUUGAACUGGUCUUUAAUUAUAUCUGAUUCAAAUGACUAAGGUGUAUGGAGAGGCUGUGGAGCCAAAAGUUUAGGAGCACCUAUUAUGUGCCACUCCUACUACUCUUCUCUGCAACAUAAACAGAAGAAACGGAGGCUCAGAGGAGUUACGUAAAACAUUGGUCAAGUUGGCCCAGGGGCCCACAUCUCCUGAACCCAGCAUAGCUGAGUUUGGAUGGAUGAGAUCUUUGGAUGAGAUAUCUCAGAACAAGAAGCCAGCCUGGGUGAUCUGUUUGCCAAGCUACAGUCACUGAGUGAGCCAGACACCUACAGAUGCCACAGGGUAAGAAACAAGACUCAGAGAAGUCCAAGUCAAACAGCUUCUUCGUGAAGGAGGCAGAAUUCAAAUCUGGACCUGCCUGUCUCCAAAUUCUACACGUUUUCUGUUACUCUCUCGCACUGUGUUCCAUAGUGGCCCCCCAAAAUUUAUACCUUUCCAGGAACCUCAGAAUAUGGCCUUGUUUGAAAAUAAAGUCUUUGCAGAGGUAAUUAGCUAAGUUACAAUGAAGUCAUUCUAGAAUGGAAUGGGCCCUAAAUCCAAUAUGGCGGGUGUCAUUGUAAGAAGAGGAAAGAGACGGACAGGAGAUUGCCAUGUGAAGACCCAGGCAGGGAAGAACACCACAAGACAGAGGCAGAGACUCGAGCGAUGCAUCUACAAAACAAGGAACGUUCAGGAUUGAUUGCCGGCAACCUCCCAAAGCUAGAAGAGGCAAGGACGAAUGCUUCCCCAGAGCCUUCAGAGACAGUGUGGUCCUGCCAACACCUUGAUUUCAGACUGCUAGCUUCCAGAACUGUGAGACAAUAAAUUCCUAUUGUUCUAAGCCA
rnacentral:lncRNA from 13 species